UACGAACUGUGCGAGCGUUAUUCGGAAUCACUGGGCUUAAAGGGUGCGUAGGCGGCUCGUCCAGUCAGGUGUGAAAUCCCCCGGCUCAACCGGGGAACAGCGCUUGAAACUAGCGGGCUUGAGUGAGGUAGGGGACCACGGAACUUCCGGUGGAGCGGUGAAAUGUGUAGAUAUCGGAAGGAACGCCGGUGGCGAAAGCGGUGGUCUGGGCCUUGUCUGACGCUGAGGCACGAAAGCCAGGGGAGUGAACGGG
rnacentral:rRNA from 1 species